rnacentral:rRNA from 1 species
GAUGAACGCUAGCGGCAGGCUUAACACAUGCAAGUCGAGGGGCAGCAUGAGACGGAGAUUCGUCGAAGUCUUGAUGGCGACCGGCGCAAGGGUGCGUAACGCGUGAGCAACUUGCCCGUUUCAGGGGGAUAACCGUUGGAAACGACGACUAAUACCCCAUGGUAUAUAAUUGAGGCAUCUCAACUAUAUUAAAGAAUUUCGGAAACGGAUAGGCUCGCGUGACAUUAGCUAGAUGGUGAGGUAACGGCUCACCAUGGCGACGAUGUCUAGGGGUUCUGAGAGGAAGGUCCCCCACACUGGAACUGAGACACGGUCCAGACUCCUACGGGGAGGUAGCAGUGAGGAAUAUUGGUCCAAUGGUCGGAAGACUGAACCAGCCAAGUAGCGUGAAGGAUGAAGGUUCUAUGGAUUGUAAACUUCUUUUAUACGGGAAUAAAACCUCCAGUGUGGGANCUUGUAUGUACCGUAUGAAUAAGCAUCGGCUAACUCCGUGCC